UUCAGCCCAACCACUUCCACAGAGCCCCAGUGAGCUCUGUAACAAAGCUAAUUCCCCUACUACUAAUUCUAGGUGUCAGUGCUGAAUGUGCUGAUUAUUUAUUUUUAUUUUUUUCCUGCAGAAAUCCAUGUGAUCAAUCUUGAGCUGACAAACCACAGCAUUUCUGAGGGUGUAAAUUCUGAUAUUGAAAGGAGAGGAAGGUGUCAUGGGAGCAAGGUGGAGAUUUUUUGCUGAAGAGUGUGAGGAGGGAGAUAAACUACUGAGGAAGUCAUUGUUUCGGGAAGUCAUUUUGGGUGAAGAUUGCCUGUUUCGUUUCCUAUUUGUUGCUUGCCCUUGGACUGAACAUAAGAGAAAAACAAAUGGUAUAGCCCUGGGGAACGGAGUCCCCAUCUGGUACCAUACUCCCAUUAGGAUGCAAACCCUUCUCAGUCCUCUGGAACUACAUGCCCAAGUGAGGCCAGAGGCCAGUGCACCUUGAGCAACAGUCAAUUCCACGUUUCCAAGGAAGGGUGAAGGAAUUUUUAGGUGAUUUCUCAGUGAGCUAAGCAUUGUAAGUAAGCAUUUCUGAAGAUGGCUGAGUCAAAAUGAAAAGAAGGCAUUUCUGUAAGGGGAUCUUAUUGAUGUUUUUAAAUAUCUUUAGUGUGGGAGUUAAAGAGACAUGGCCAACCUCUUUUCAGUGGUCUGUGGGGACAGGACAAGGGGAAACAGCCAUAAACUUGAGCAUAGAUGUUCCACACCAACAUGCGAAAGAUAUGUGACUUCUUCACAGUGAGGGUGACAGCACUGGAACAGUGCCCAGAGAGGUUGUGGAUGCCCCAUCCCUGGUGGUGCUUAAGGUCAGGUUGGGGCCCUAGGCAGCCUGGUCUAGUACUUGAUCUAGUGACUGGCAACCCUGAUUGCAGCAGGGAAAUUGGAACUUGAUGAUCCUUGAGGUCCCUUCAGACCCAAACCACUCUAUGAUGAUUAUAUGAUUUCAUAGCCAUGUUCAGUUUUGUAGUCACCUGCAAGUUUUAACUUGCCACUUCAAUGGAAUAGACAGUUUUAAGACUGUCUCAUUAUUUAGAUAGAUAGAUACAGAUAUCUAAAACCUGAUUAUAGAUGCUCCACAAUGUAAUCUUGUGCCAAGAGACACAGCCAUGUCUACAAGCUUUGAAGGGUAAAAGGGUAGAUGUGUUAUGUUAUUAUGGAGUUAAUAACAUAAUAUGGAGACAUGGAGAUUCUUCUUUAUUUGAAGAAAGAAAGGAGUGG
ensembl:lncRNA